UCUCACGUAAAACACUCUUCUCUCUGCUGCUUUCUUUCAUUUCUUUUUAUUUGCAAAGAGAUAAUGAAAACAAAUUAAGUUUUGAUAAGAGUUGAAAGGAAAUCAUAAACCUUCACUUAUAGAAAUAUUCAAGUAAGAAUCUCAAGAAAAGUGGUGAAUUAAAGUUGAUCCAUGAGUUAUGGUGGAGCUUCAUAUCUAGUUUUUAUGGUCCAGAGUGUGAACCGGACAAGAGACUUCGUCUAGAGUGGCAAAUCGUUUUCAUAUAGCGUAAGUUGAAUAUGUUGGAAGCUUACUAAGGCUGUUAGCAAUUGGGGAUAGUUAAGGUAUCCUGGUGUCGUGAAGACUUGCAAGAUGUGAAUGUCUUUGGCUAGGAGUUCAAAAUCAGCUUAGGGUUUUGUUUCAGAGUGUUGUCUGUGUUUGUUUGGGAAGUUUGUUGUUAAAGCUGAAUGCUUAAUUUGUGUGUGUGGUUUUGACCUUUACUUGUUGUCAAAUACUCUGUACGCAAUUAUAUUCAAGUGGUCAAAAAUUUUAUGACCUAGGGCAUUGCGCUGGGCCUAUUUAUGGAAAAGACUUAGACCGAACAGCUCGUACUCUGAUUUAUCAUU